AUGGAUUUACCCUCCGCAUUCAUCUCUCCUAGGCCAAACCCCUUAUGCACACUCUCAAAACCUCUUGCCACACUACCUACAUGUCCAUUGAGACCCCUCUUAGAAAAAGCUUAUCUCAUUGGGGGAUAUCCUAAAGUAGACCUUCUAAAUCCUCCCAAAGUUUUACCUCGAGGUGUUAUGUUAAAGAUUGUUGGCUCAAUACAGCUCCUCUGUUGCAGUUGCAAGGAUUCUUUUGAAUGCUAUAGCCAUGGUAGAUUUUGA